rnacentral:rRNA from 1 species
AACGAACGCUGGCGGCGCGUUUUAAGCAUGCAAGUCGAGCGGUAAGGUCCUUCGGGACCCCAGAGCGGCGGACGGGUGAGUAACACGUGGAUAAUCUGCCUUCCAGUCCGGGAUAGCACAUGGAAACAUGUGAUAAUACCGGAUACGAUGUGCCUGCCACAUGGCGGGUGCAGGAAAGGUCCUGCGGGAUCGCUGGGAGAUGAGUCCGCGGCCCAUUAGCUUGUUGGCGGGGUAAAGGCCCCACCAAGGCGACGAUGGGUAGCCGGCCUGAGAGGGUGGACGGCCACAUUGGGGACUGAGACACGGCCCAGACUCCUACGGGAGGCAGCAGCUAAGAAUCUUCCACAAUGGGCAAAGCCUGAUGCAGCAACGCCGCGUGAGGGAAGACGGUUUUCGGAUUGUAAACCUCUGUUCUAAGUGACGAAG